GAUGAAGAACGUAGCGAAAUGCGAUACUUGGUGUGAAUUGCAGAAUCCCGUGAACCAUCGAGUCUUUGAACGCAAGUUGCGCCCGAAGCCAUUAGGCCGAGGGCACGCCUGCCUGGGCGUCACACGUUGUUGCCCCCCCAUCUACUCCUUCGGGAUUGCGGGGGGCGGAUGAUGGCCUCCCGUGCGCCUCGCCGCGCGGUUGGCAUAAAUGCCAAGUCCUCGGCGACGCACGCCACGACAAUCGGUGGUUGCGAAACCUCGGUUGCCCGUCGUGUGCGGUCGUCGCGCAUCGAGGGCUCGAAAAAAUUGCCGGGUUCCGGCUCGGCUUUCAACGCGACCCCAGGUCAGGCGGGGUUACCCGAUGAAUUUAAGCAUAUCAAAAGCGGAGGA
rnacentral:misc_RNA from 1 species